GAAGCUGGGAAGGAUAUAUCUGGGGGAGACUAAAGAGAGAAAGAAAAGUGAGAUGAGGAAUAUAGAGCCUUUAAAAAUCUUCCUAUUUCCAGGUCCUGGGCCUUAGAGGGGGAAUACUUCCACCAAGAGCACUUAGAGCUUUGGCUGCCACAUGGUCCCUUUGGGCUCCUCAUGCCAACAGAUCAGAUGCACACAAUGGAGUUCCUCCACUGCCAGAGGUAACUGACCCUAAUCAUCGUGAAGAGGUAAGAAUGCUACUAUAUAAUAGAGGCAGUGAGGAAUAUGUUUGGUACUCAGAUGAUCCACUGAGGUAUCAUUUCGUGCUCUCAUGCCCAGUUUUAAUUAUAAAUGGCAAGUACAGAAACCACAGCCUAAUAAGGGCAUGGUAACCAUGGGCUCACCCCACAAGACCAGCCACCUGGACCAACAGAAGAGCUAGCUGAGGAGAGAGGAAUCUAGAAUGGGUGAGGAGAUGGUAAGUAUCAGGAAAGACCUUGGGACCAACCACAGAAUCAGGAGCUGUAGUUUGUCCUGCUGAUCUUCUUCCUACAAAAUUUCCCAGAAAUUAUGACCUGCCAGAAUCUUGAAGAAGCUAUGUCCAAACGGAAUGAACAAUGUGGAAGAAGGUAGAUUUGAGUGCAAGAGGAAACCUGACCUCGGACAGAUGGCUUCCUAGAUCCUGGCCUCAGUGACUAGGGAUGCUGAUGCCAUUCACUGAGAAAGGAAAAAGGGUAAAAGAAGCCAUUCAGAUGCCUUCCCUAUAAAAUGACCAACAGUUUGUUCCGGCUGUUAGAAUGCCAAUAGAGUAGAAGAUGUGGGAGAGGGGCAAGAUGGCGGAGUGGAGGUGACCUCCUGGAUUUGUGCUCCCGGAGAGGAAGGCGUGGAUCUCCA